AAUCCCAUAAACCGUGGCUCAGUUCAGAUCGUAGGCUGCAACUCGCCUACGUGAAGGAGGAAUCGCUAGUAAUCGCAGGUCAGCAUACUGCGGUGAAUACGUUCCCGGGCCUUGUACACACCGCCCGUCACACCAUGGAAGUUGGCCACGCCCGAAGCCGUUACUCCAACCCUUGUGGAGGAGGACGUCGAAGGUGGGGCUGAUGACUGGGGUGAAGUCGUAACAAGGUAGCCGUACCGGAAGGUGCGGCUGGAUCACCUCCUAA
rnacentral:rRNA from 1 species